rnacentral:lncRNA from 1 species
ACGGUGUCACCGUGUCACCGUCCCCACCCUGACCCGCCGCCUGUCCCCUACAGCCGAGGACGAGGAGGAGACCAUCGCCGCCCAGGAGCGCCUGGAGGGCGACGUGGACCACAAGAAGGAGCUGGACGGAGGAGCUGCUGCGUCGCUACGCCGGCGCCUUGGGCGACUCCGCCAGCUCCGGGGCCCCCUCCGAGCCCGGCUCCGCCCCCGGCUCCGCCCCCGCCUCCGGCUCCGCCUCCCCCGGCUCUGGCUCCGCCUCCCCCGAGGACGCCAGCAGCACCCGCUCCGACUCGCCGGCGGCCGAGAGCGAGGAGGAGGAGGAGGAGGAGGAGGAGGACGAAGAGGACGACGAAGAAGAUGACGAAGAGGAGGAGGAGGAGGAGGAGGAAGAGGAAGACGAGGAGGCCGAGGAGAGCGAGGGGGAGGCGGCGGCCCCCCCCCACGGGUGCCGGGGCCACCCUGAGGGC